UACGUAGGUGGCAAGCGUUGUCCGGAAUUAUUGGGCGUAAAGCGCGCGCAGGUGGUUUCUUAAGUCUGAUGUGAAAGCCCACGGCUCAACCGUGGAGGGUCAUUGGAAACUGGGGAACUUGAGUGCAGGAGAGAAGAGUGGAAUUCCACGUGUAGCGGUGAAGUGCGUAGAGAUGUGGAGGAACACCAGUGGCGAAGGCGACUCUUUGGCCUGUAACUGACACUGAGGCGCGAAAGCGUGGGGAGCAAACAGG
rnacentral:rRNA from 1 species